rnacentral:rRNA from 1 species
GACGAACGCUGGCGGCGCGCCUAACACAUGCAAGUCGAACGAGCGAGCGAGAGCUUGCUUUCUCGAGCGAGUGGCGAACGGGUGAGUAACGCGUGAGGAACCUGCCUCAAAGAGGGGGACAACAGUUGGAAACGACUGCUAAUACCGCAUAAGCCCACGGCUCGGCAUCGAGCAGGGGGAAAAGGAGCAAUCCGCUUUGAGAUGGCCUCGCGUCCGAUUAGCUAGUUGGUGAGGUAACGGCCCACCAAGGCGACGAUCGGUAGCCGGACUGAGAGGCUGAACGGCCACAUUGGGACUGGGACACGGCCCAGACUCCUACGGGAGGCAGCAGUGGGGAAUAUUGCACAACGGGGUAAACCCUGAUGCAGCGACGCCGCGUGGAGGAAGAAGGUCUUCGGAUUGUAAACUCCUGUUGUUGGGGAAGAUAAUGACGGUACCCAACAAGGAAGUGACGGCUAACUACGUG